ACCUAGAUAGCUCAGUCAGUAGAGCAUUAGACUUUUAAUCUGAGGGUCCAGGGUUCAAAUCCCUGUUUGGGCA